UAUUUUCUCUAAAAACUUUUAGAUAUAAGAUUUUAUUUUCUCUUUCUUGGCUUCACCCAGAUAGCUUCUUUUCCCAAAAUCACUCCUUCACCCAAAUCGUUGCUCAUUCAAAAAGAGUUCCAGCGUUUGAAUAAUAGCUAAAAAUGGUAGAAUCACUGCUUCAGGUCCUGUCGGUAGAUCCACACUUGGCCGUAUCAUGAAUGUCAUUGGAGAGGCAAUUGAUGAAAGAGGCCCAAUUAGCAAGUCAUAAAUGUUGCGGAUACUCCAUAUUAUAAUUUAUUCACGGGACAAUAUCAAAAUAUUCUAAUUUAUCCAUGAGAAUGUCUCUAUUAUUGCAUCUUAAUCUGUAAAAUGGUUGCAGCAACCGAUCACUUUUUGCCAAUCCAUCGUGAAGCUCCUGCCUUUGUUGAGCAAGUCACCGAACAACAAAUUCUUGUCACUGGUAUUAAGGUUGUUAAUCUUCUUGCUCCAUACCAAAGAAGAGGAAAAAUUGGGCUGUUUGGUGGUGCUGGUGUUGGGAAAACUAUGCUUAUUAUGGAACUGGUUAACAAAUUCGCAAAAGCACAUGAUUAGGAAUGG